GAUGUUUUAGAUAAAGAUGAGAUGAUAGUUGGUUAGUUAGCGAGGGCGCAGCUGAAAAAUGGAACCAAACAGUAGUUCGUCAGAGUAUAUACUGUACAAACGAAGAUGGUUUAUAUUGGGAAGCCUGGCUAUGCUUAACCUAUCCAACAAUGCUCUUUGGAUCAGUUAUUCUGCGGUAGCCGAUGUUACAGCAGAGUAUUUCAAAAUUACAGGAACAGAUAAAAUUUAUUAUAAUCAUUAUUAUUAUUAUU